UACGUAGGGGGCAAGCGUUGUCCGGAUUUAUUGGGCGUAAAGAGCUCGUAGGUGGUUUGUUACGUCUGCUGUGAAAACCUAGGGCUUAACCCUGGGCUUGCAGUGGAUACGGGCAGACUAGAGGUAGGUAGGGGAGAAUGGAAUUCCUGGUGUAGCGGUGAAAUGCGCAGAUAUCAGGAGGAACACCGGUGGCGAAGGCGGUUCUCUGGGCCUUACCUGACACUGAGGAGCGAAAGCGUGGGGAGCGAACAGG
rnacentral:rRNA from 1 species